AGUGAACGCUGGCGGUAGGCCUAACACAUGCAAGUCGAACGGCAGCACAGUAAGAGCUUGCUCUUACGGGUGGCGCGUGGCGGACGGGUGAGGAAUACAUCGGAAUCUACUUUUUCGUGGGGGAUAACGUAGGGAAACUUACGCUAAUACCGCAUACGACCUACGGGUGAAAGCAGGGGAUCUUCGGACCUUGCGCGAUUGAAUGAGCCGAUGUCGGAUUAGCUAGUUGGCGGGGUAAAGGCCCACCAAGGCGACGAUCCGUAGCUGGUCUGAGAGGAUGAUCAGCCACACUGGAACUGAGACACGGUCCAGACUCCUACGGGAAGCCGCAGUGGGGAAUAUUGGGCAAUGGGCGCAAGCCUGAUCCAGCCAUACCGCGUGGGUGAAGAACGCCUUCGGGUUGUAAAGCCCUUUUGUUGGGAAAGAAAAGCAGCAGGUUAAUACCCCGCUGUUCUGACGGUACCCAAAGAAUAAGCACCGGCUAACUUCGUG
rnacentral:rRNA from 1 species